CGGGUGAGUAAUGUCUGGGAAACUGCCUGAUGGAGGGGGAUAACUGCUGGAAACGGUAGCUAAUACCGCAUAACGUCGCAAGACCGAAGAGGGGGACCUUCGGGCCUCUUGCCAUCGGAUGUGCCCAGAUGGGAUUAGCUAGUAGGUGGGGUAACGGCUCACCUAGGCGACGAUCCCUAGCUGGUCUGAGAGGAUGACCAGCCACACUGGAACUGAGACACGGUCCAG
rnacentral:rRNA from 1 species